rnacentral:misc_RNA from 1 species
GAUGAAGAACGUAGCGAAAUGCGAUACGUAAUGUGAAUUGCAGAAUUCAGUGAAUCAUCGAGUCUUUGAACGCACAUUGCGCCCCCUGGUAUUCCGGGGGGCAUGCCUGUCCGAGCGUCAUUGCUGCCCAUCAAGCACGGCUUGUGUGUUGGGUCGUCGUCCCCUCUCCGGGGGGGACGGGCCCCAAAGGCAGCGGCGGCACCGCGUCCGAUCCUCGAGCGUAUGGGGCUUUGUCACCCGCUCUGUAGGCCCGGCCGGCGCUUGCCGAACGCAAAACAACCAUUUUUUCCAGGUUGACCUCGGAUCAGGUAGGGAUACCCGCUGAACUUAAGCAUAUCAAUAAGCGGAGGA